AUACGUAGGGGACGAGCGUUGUCCGGAAUUACUGGGCGUAAAGGGCGCGUAGGCGGCGCUUCAAGUCGUCUGUCAAAUGGGAGGGCUUAACCCUUUUUCGCAGACGAAACUGGAGAGCUUGAGGAGCAGAGAGGCAAACAGAAUUCCUGGUGUAGCGGUGAAAUGCGUAGAUAUCAGGAAGAAUACCAGUGGCGAAGGCGGUUUGCUGGCUGCAUACUGACGCUGAAGCGCGAAAGCCAGGGGAGCAAACGGGAUUAGAUACCCCGGUAGUCCUGGCAGUAAACGAUGUAUGCUGGGUGUGAGACUAGCGAUAGUUUCGUGCCGAAGUUAACGCGAUAAUCAUACCGCCUGGGGAGUACGGUCGCAAGAUUGAAACUCAAAUGAAUUGACGGGG
rnacentral:rRNA from 1 species